CUUCCUUCCCCGCGGCGGGCGAAGAUUGCGGACCCUCCCGGAGCAGCCCCCGGCUUCUUGGGGCUCGCCCCCCCGCCCCCUGUGCCCCCCUUUUCUUCUGUGGCGGCGGGCGGUGUGAGCUGCGGGGCUUGGAAUAUGGUCGGGGAAAUGGAAACGAAGGAGAAGCCCAAGCCGACCCCAGAUUACCUGAUGCAGCUGAUGAACGACAAGAAGCUCAUGAGCAGCCUGCCCAACUUCUGUGGGAUCUUCAACCACCUCGAGCGGCUGCUGGACGAAGAAAUUAGCAGAGUACGGAAAGACAUGUAUAAUGACACCUUAAAUGGGAGUACAGAGAAAAGGAGUGCAGAGCUCCCUGAUGCUGUGGGACCUAUUGUUCAGUUACAAGAGAAACUCUACGUGCCUGUAAAAGAAUACCCCGAUUUUAACUUUGUUGGAAGAAUCCUUGGGCCCAGAGGACUAACAGCUAAACAACUGGAGGCAGAAACAGGAUGCAAAAUAAUGGUCCGAGGAAAAGGAUCAAUGAGGGAUAAAAAGAAGGAGGAACAAAACAGAGGCAAACCCAAUUGGGAGCACCUAAAUGAAGAUUUACAUGUACUAAUCACUGUGGAAGAUGCUCAGAAUAGAGCAGAAAUCAAACUGAAGAGAGCCGUUGAAGAAGUAAAAAAAUUAUUGGUACCUGCAGCAGAAGGAGAAGACAGCCUUAAGAAGAUGCAGCUGAUGGAACUUGCAAUUCUGAAUGGCACCUACAGAGAUGCCAACAUUAAAUCACCAGCCCUUGCCUUUUCUCUUGCAGCAACAGCCCAGGCUCCAAGGAUUAUUACUGGGCCUGCGCCUGUUCUCCCACCAGCUGCCCUGCGUACUCCUACGCCAGCUGGCCCUACCAUAAUGCCUUUGAUCAGACAAAUACAGACCGCUGUCAUGCCAAACGGAACUCCUCAUCCAACUGCUGCAAUAGUUCCUCCAGGACCUGAGGCUGGUUUAAUUUACACACCCUACGAGUACCCUUACACACUGGCACCAGCUACAUCAAUCCUUGAGUAUCCUAUUGAACCUAGUGGUGUAUUAGGUAUGGCUUUCCCAACGAAAGGCUAAGAAAUUCAAGAACGGUCUUAACUGAACCCUCAUCAGAUCUGAAUUUAACAAAUGCUUAGUUUCAGCAGCCUUGGAGGAAAAAAAAAAAGCUUAGCCUAGCAGUCAGUGACUUACUUGCACUUUUUGCACAUAGAUAUAAAAUAAAACUAUGCUAAUUAAUUUGGUUUAGUCUGUACUAUGAAAAAGUAGCUGUAAUUUAUAAAGGAGUGUAUAGUAGUAAACUGACUGCUAAGUGUUCUAUACUGUUUGCUUUACUAAUCACCUAAUUCAUUGCAGUUCAUACUUAUUGACUCAAAGUUUAAAACCAUAAGCUGUAGGCUUUAAGAAUUGCUUUUAAACUUUUCUAAGUGGUAGAAACUGGAAGUGGUCUUAAGGUUAGCAAAUAAUUGUCAGUAUUAAAUAUGGCAUUAUUUAAUUAGUCCUGCUCCAAGAAAGGCACUUCAGUGAAUAUGUGACUAGUAAAGCUUAAAUGUGCUUGGGUCUAAUAGAUUUCAUGAAAUACUGUAAUUUGAGAAUCAUAAAUGAAUGGAUAAAACAGGUUAAGGCCAGAAUGUUUGAAAUGAAUGCAAUAUUAGUAUACACAGAUAUAUUCUACAUAUUAUGGUUAAGUUUUUAAAACUACUGUGCCUUAACUUGUUUCUUUCUUUCCUAAAAUGAAUUUUUGUAGUAAAUGAACAUCCAUUUUGAUAAACCUGCUGUUAAUGUUUGUUUUUGGGUUGUGUUGGUUUUUUUUGUUGUUGUUGUUGUUUUUGUUUUGGGGGGGGUUUGUGGUUUUUUGUUUUACUUUUUUUUUUUUAAUGAAUGUCUUCUAACUUUGUCUUGGUAAUUGCAAUUUAACUAGGUGCGGUGGCUACUAAAGUUCGAAGGCACGAUAUGCGUGUCCAUCCUUACCAAAGGAUUGUGACCGCAGACCGAGCCGCCACCGGCAACUAACCUAUGACCUUCUGACCUCUGAACUCUUCACCCAAUGAUGACCUGACCAUGCCUGCCUGCUGAUCAGUUAACUGGUAAUCGCCUUUGCUUGCCUGUCAUCAGUGCAGCGAGCUGAGGCACUUGUCCGUUCGUCUUACCAUCUAACCAAACAAAAGACAAAGAAAUUGUCCUCCAACUCCGCUUUUUCCCCCCCUGUUUGGGUGAAAGUGGUUCUAGAACCUGCACUGAAUAGUAGUAAAGCAAUAAGGUCCAAUCCAUCCCUCAGCACUGAUCAUCCUUUAGCGUUCCGCCCUAAACGAACGGUAAGAGGGCCUCUCUUAAGAAAUGGAGACAAAUGGCCCUUAACUACCCGAUGACAGAGGCAGUUACUGUGAGAGACUUCUAGGAAUCCUUUUCUUCUCAUAGUGAAGUCAAAGCUCUCUCUCUCUCUCUCUCUCUCUUUCUCUCUCUCUCUGAAUGUACUGUGCGAUGAUGCAUCAUGCAUGAACCUUUGGUCAGGGAUGUCAUUGGUGAAGUGAUUUCAAAAAGUAUUCAAAAUUUGACAUGCUGUUUAGUCACUACAGUGCCCUCAAAGGGCAGAAGUUGCAGCCUUUUUUUAUAUUGCCUGCCAAAUUUGAUGUAGUAAAAGAAAGUGUGCCAUGAAAGAAAAAUUAACAAGAAAUUUUGAAAACUAAUGCAAAGAACAAAACUGCAACACUAUUUUUUAAAAAAGAAAAAAAAAAUCUGAAUUAAAAUUACCGAGCCUGUAUUUUACACCUCCUUAAAAGAUUAUAUGAGAACAAGGUACAUGCAUUAUGUGUCACAUUACUGGGCAAACUGUUCAAAUAUUUUUUUUAAACCUCCCUGUAUAGAAAAAUCAUUAAGGAUGUAAAAGCCAUGCUUGCCUAUUUGCUGUAUACAUGUAAUGAAAUUGUAGAUAAAGUGUAGUGCAUUGAAACAAAUGAACAAAAAAGUAGAUACUUUUACUAUACAAGGGUGCUGGUGCAGAAAAAAAUAUAUAUUUUUGGAAAUGUAGCAUUUUAUACUUUCAAGUGUUAUAAAAAAAAGAAAAAAAGAACAAAGAAACCCUUUAUUUCAUUAAAUGAUUUUUUCUGGUGGUUGUCAAGAAACAAAAGACCAAAAGAGCCUUUUUGUCUUUCUUUUUUAUUUUUUAAGUAUUGGAAUAAGUCUAAAGAAAAGAAAGUGCCUUAUUUUCCUUCAUGGUCAUUUAGUCAAGUGUCUCAUAAAAUCAGCUCCUCCCUCUGAUAACAAGUGAAUGCAUGCCUGCUCAGCCCAGUGUGUGAGAAGGUAGAGGGGGAAGACACAUGAGUUGAUGGUUUGAAUUAUAAUAUAUUUGCUGUGUUACCUUGAUGCAAUUUGCCAAAUCUGAUACUGUGAAAAAAAAAUUGAUAACUUUUCUAUCUUAUGCCAGACUGCUCAUUCAUUUUUAAAACAUUUUCAUUCUUUUAAAAUCAUAAGUACUUUUGUUUCAUGCACUUGCUCAACCCAAACCCAAAGGAUCUGAGACAAAAACUGUGUUAUUCUCUUUCUCACUAUCCGAUUAAAAAAAGUAGAGCAAUGUUUUGUUUUAAUGGGAUGAGUUAUAUUCUUAUUGAUUGAUAUAGUAGUAACCUCUAGAUGACUUCACUAAUUUCACAAAAUAAAGCUUUGUGAAUUUUACCAAUUUUUAGUUCAGAAGUUACUUAAAACUUUUACAAAAUUUUAUAGAACUUCUGCCUGCCAUGUCAGAUAAUUUCUGAUAGAACUUUUUCAUUAGUUCUAACUUCCUUUGCUUUUGACUUUUAAAAGAAUGUUAGAAAUUAGCAUUAAUUUGCAUAUAAAGGCUCAACUAUAUAUUCGUUUAAGCUUCCUAAGUUGUGAAGUUCAAACAGUUGGCCUUGUGUAAUAGUUGAAGCAAUUUGUGCACAAAGCUGAUUUCUAAAUAAUUGAGUGAUUAUUCAUUCUUUUAACAAAUCAGUACCAGACAUGGCAAAUUAUCAAGUGACAUUGUGUUCCCCAACUUAUCAACUCAUUCCUUCUUACAUACCUUCACAGCUUUGAAGUCAAAGGUCAGCAGUAAAGCUCAGUAAGCACCUGCAUGGUGACCUCAUCCAUCACCUUGUCUCAAACUUGGAAAUGAUUUUCAGUUUAUUUACUAUGCAAUAGACAUUCAUCCCUUUAUAUUCAGCUAGCUUUUGUUUAACGUGCCACUGCUUUGUCUUCCUGUUACAUAUGCAAUAUUUUGAUUUCCUUACAAUAUAUGCUGUGCCAUUUUGAUUUUUAUUUUGGUUGGUUGAAUAAACUCGCGACACUCAAACAUUUGAGGAGAGAUUUGCUAAAAUGAUACCAGUAUUUGUUCCAGUUUCAUCUCAACUAUGAUAAACCUGGACAUUUUAGAUGUUUAUCAAAGGUCUUUUAUUGGGAAGAAAGUAAGUGUAUCAAAUAAAUGUGUGACAUUUAUGAGUAAUGUUUGCUCUAAACAAACUUUUGAAAAUUUAGUUGACAAAAUUUUGGAUCAACUAAAAAGAAGCAUGACUUUUGAAAUCUCUGAAUGCCUUGGUUCUCAGUAUUAUCAUUCUUUAUUGAAUUUAUUUCUUAUUAAAAUAUGUAGUUUUAAGACUUUUUUUCUGACAGUAUUAUGUAAUUUUUUUUAGAGUGGGUAGAUGGGAGUGUCGCUUGUAUGCUACCGUACAGCUGACAUGUAUUUUGUCUAUUCUUUAUUAUCUUAGUAGUUUCAUGCUAUGUAUGUACCAUAACCAACCUAUUGCCUAUGAGAAACAUGUAAGAUAAUGUAUUUACAGCCAUUGUUACAAGUUUAUAAUGUAUUUUUCUAUCUUGUUUUAUAUGUAUGUUAUAUAACAUUCAAAAAAAGAAUUUUUUUCCUGAUUGAGAAAAGGAUACAAAAUGCAAAACCCACAAUUUUGAUAACUGAAAAUUGCCAAUUGUUUUGCAGUACUUUAUUAUAUUGAGAGUGUUGUCUUUCUUGGGCUUUUAGUUAGCUACUGAAUGAAUACAUUAGACACAUUCGGGUUUUAGUUGGGAUUUUACAUAGCUUGCAUUUUAAUUCUUUGGUUCUUUGCUGUUUCUAUUAACCCAUAGCAUUAUUUUAAUAAAUGUUAUAAUACCAACCUACUAACUCUGGACUAUGUCUGUUUAUUAACCUAUACAUGUUUAAUUAAAAUCAAUAAAUAAAUAAAGACGGAAGAAUGUAAAGUCUUGAGUUACUGGACUAACCCUGAGGAACGUGACCACAGAUAACACAGCGUGACUUGUUUUUUAUGUUGUUUGUCAGCUGACAAUUCUGCACACUACUGUUAAGUUGGCUUUGGUUAUUCUGGCCUUUUCCCUUGGGGGUAGAUGCCAGUAGUGAUGGGAACAAAGGAGUAUCUACUGGAGGCAUUCUUGUAGAGUCUUGCCACUUGCCUUUCAGCAUCUGCAUUACUAAUUCCACACUUUUCUUAUUUUUCCUCCUCCAAAAUAAUCACUGUCUGCUCACAGCAAAAGAGCAAGGAAGCUCAGUGUGAUGAUAUACCAAGAAACCAGUUUGAUUCUUUGUUGAACCAUUUCCUCUAGCUUCUCUAUAAGGAGCAGGUAAUUGUUAUGAUCUAUACUUUAAAAAGCAAAGAAUCUGGUUAUUUCUUACAAUUUUCCUAAUACUUUUGACAGUUGACAUUUUUCCUUUGUAAAGCUUAAGCAGUGUUAAACUUUUACUAUUGAGGUUAUAAUUAUCUGUCAUUAUUAGCUCAGGGGACUGCAACCUAGGUAAAGCCAAAGGUUAGGUUGACUGUUUUUCAUGAAGUGAUUGACAAACAUAGAAAAACAGCAAACAACCUUUUAGAACACCACAAUUGGUGUUACCUCAUGUUUUCUUUACCCUUCUAUGUCCACCCCACAUACCCCAUUAGAUAAUUGAUUAGACCUUGGAAUUGAAGUGGGGGGGAGCGCAGGGCUAGCACUUAAAAGUUGUAUUUGGUAAAUUGUUUGUAUGCAAAUUUAAAGAAUUAUGGUUACUUUAAUGUUUAAUUAGGUUUGCACCAUGGUUAUGGUCACUUAGAUUUAUGAACAUUAAAAAAAAUUGUCACAUUCAAUGAGACCACCUGUUAACCCAGUUUUUCACGUGCAUAAUUUUAUUUCACAGAUAUUGGUUGCCUUCCUUUUCUGUGAAAACAUUGUAUUAUUUAGAUGAUAAAAUUCUAAAGGUGAAUAGUUGCAUCUUUUAAAACGGAUUUAUUUCUGCAGGUUAUAAUCAAUUAACCUCCCAAUUUCCAAAAAGGAUUUUUUUUUUUUUUUUUUGGCCUGGGAGGAGGUUGGGAGACGUAUUUAGAGAAUAGGUGGGCUAAAUUGAUGGAAUAGAUAGGAUGUGUCUCUUAUGGCUAAAACAGCACAUUUGGAUCAGUCAAACAUAAAAAGAAACUUAAGUGGUUAUAUUUUAUAUUAAUUAUAAAAGAGGUAUUCAUUCAUUCAUUGGGGUUUUCUUUUUAACGAGUUGUAAUGGUAAUUAUACAUGUGCAGCUCUAGUUUGUUGCUGCUUAUAAAAGACCUUAAUGUCCUUUUCUUCCCUUUAUUAAACAUUGUUUCUGGAAGCUGAUUUGUAGAAGUUGAUUUACAAGUUUAUUCUCUGUGGUGGAUCCUCGUCACUUACUUUGAAGGGUUUCCAUGAACUUAGUAUAUGAAUGUUCUGGAACCCUCAUGCAGUUUCAUCUCACCUUCAGCUAGUGGUACUUAAGGUAUAAUUAAUAUGAUAAAGCAGGGUUAUAGGUGCUUAUGGCUAAGUUUUGCUCUUCCACGUUGGCAAGAGAUUGUCAUAUUGUCAAAAAUCUCAACUUCCAAGGCAAAACUCUGGCAAUACUUGUAAACUUUUUUGUGGGGAGGGCUCUAAAAGUCGUUUUGUUUUUUUUUAAAGGUUGAAACAUUUUGCAAAUCUCUUUUUUUUUUUUUAAGUCCAUUUACGAUAGUAGUAGAAUGUUUUGGUAUACAAAACUAACAAUCUAAGGUCAAGUAAAUGGUAAUGAAAACGUCAAUUAUCAAUUUGACAAGUCACCUGGAACCUCUGAACUUUCAGCUAAGAAACUUAUUUAAUAUACUUAAUUAGAAAUUAAUUUUUGUUUUUUUCUUAUGACAGACAAAAUGUCAGCAAAUAUAUAGAGUGGCUCUAGAUAUUUAUGUCAGCUACAGUGCAGCAGCUUCAAGUACAGUUUAAAAAUAGGUGAUUUAAACUACAUGCAUGAAACCAAAAUUUGUGUAUAUACUAUUUAUAGUCAGUUUUUAAAUACUUUUCUAGUGCACUGAAUGAUGAUAGAUUUAUCUGCUUUGUACCAUACCAAAAAUAAUUUCUUUAGCAGAGCCCUUAAUAUAUGAAUAUUUUAUAUGCAGCCAUUAGGUUUAGUGGACUUUGAUUGGCUGAUUCCACAAUUCCAAAAACAGUUAGUUAGCAUUUUAAUGGAGCAAAAUAUACUUAGUGUUUCAAACUAAAAACAUUAAGCUUUCAGUAAGCUGCUCUACAAACUUUUUGAACUGUUUAUAGAAAAUUUUAUCAAAUGUCUGUUUCAGCCAACUUUGAGGGAUCAUGUAAAAUAUGCUAAUUUUCUCAUCACAAUUAAUAAAAACUUUCAUUUUGAAAUGGAAAUUUUCUUAACUGGAUAAAAUCAAUUCUGAUACAACACCAUGGAACAAUUUUUAAAACAUUCCUAUGGUGCAGACAUUUAACAUUUUACUUAACAUGCUUCUGUUUCAAGUCAAAAUGCCUGUUACCAAGAUAGUAUUGUUAACAAAACCACAUACAUAAUUGGUACUCAAUGCUGAAUCAAACUGGUUAACCUAAGCACAGUGCUCUCUUUUCUAUGUUUCUGCUGCACUAAUUGCCAGUGAAAAAGUUCACUAAAAUAGCGGUGGGUGGUACGUGCAGCAGUGCUCACAGUAUUGAUUCCUCAUUGCUGUUUUUCUGUGGAAAAAAAUCAACUCCCAGGGCAAAAGUUAACUUACACCUAAAAAGUGCUACAAUUAAUUAUUUCAUAUUACCAAAUAUAUUUUAUGAUUUAUGUCAUAGCAACUUAUGUAAAACAUUUAGAGUUUUGUUUAUGAAAAAUGUAUAUGGUGGUGGGAAAAGAAUAUUCCCAAUACACAUGUGAAUGGAGAAGAAUAUAUGAUAUGACUGUGCAAUAAACCAACUGGAACAGG